CAGUAGCCGCGGGAAAACCAGCACCUCGAGUGGUCAGGAGGUUUAUUGGGCCUAAAGCAUCCGUAGCCGGUUGCAUAAGUUUUCGGUUAAAUCUAUGCGCUUAACGUAUAGGCCGCCGAAAAUACUGUGCAGCUAGGGAGUGGGAGAGGUACACGGUACUCGAUAGGAAGGGGUAAAAUCCUUUGAUCUAUUGAUGACCACCUGUGGCGAAGGCGGUGUACCAGAACACGUUCGACGGUGAGGGAUGAAAGCUGGGGGAGCAAACCGGAUUAGAUACCCGUGUAGUCCCUGUCUCUUAUAA
rnacentral:rRNA from 1 species